UGAAAUCAGCGCCCGAGUCUCUCUCUCUCUCUCUCUCUCUCUCUCUCUCUCUCUCUCUCUCUCUCCCGUCGUCACCGCCGCCCUGGUCGAGGUACGACGCCUGCUGUCUCGCGCUGCGAAGGAGGAGGAUGCACACGGCGCCGGCGGCCAGCGCCGACUGCCCCCGUCCCCCCGAAGGAGGCAACCGUGGAGCCGCCGGCGGCUGCUGCGCUCCUUUGGGCCAUCAACACCGCAUCCGCCAUGGGGCGCGACGCGGAUGGCCGUGCCGUCCCCGGGGGCGCGCCGGCCACGGACGCGGCGAGUUGGAGAUGGUCCCGUCGAAUGACGCCCCACCGUGCGGCGGGGACGUGGUCGAGCGGCGAUGGGGUUUCCCGCGGAGGACCGACUGUCCUGGCCAUCCCCGCCAUGGAUCCGGUCCGGUCGCGAUGUGCCCUUUUGAGGAGAUUUGGGGCACUCAACAACCAGCAUCCGCCGGUGCAGUGCUGUAGAUGCUGCCGUUUCUGACAUCUAUGCUGAUCAGUGAUCACGAUGCUGCGCCUCUAGCUACCUCCUUGUCAGGCUUACCAAUUUGUGUGGUAAUGGAUCUUUGCUUACUACUUGGCUGCUGGCAUACAAAUGGUAUGCCUUGUGUUAAGCCACAUUGGUUCUAAUAUUACUGAAUUUUCACUCAUCUGCACAUGGUUCACUCAGCUGCACAUUGCAACCAAGUUCAUUCGUAAGUUCCUAUCAUGACAUGGUUAACUGAUCUCAAAUUUAUUGUGAAACAGAAGACAUCUUAAAUUUAUGAAUAAAGUUGCUGUCAUGACAGCUUGUACUUGAAAUUCAUUUAUUUCAAGUAGUGUCUGCUUCAAAUGAGAUGUGCCCGCCACAGAUUAUUAGGGCAAGUUGUAGAUUCUCCUUUCACCGUUAGCUGAUAACUAAGAGAUCAAAAGGCACCUCCUUGAAAUGGUCUGAGUAAAAUAUCCAUUAAGUUCAUUGUGGCUUAAGUCUUCUUUACAUAGUAUGUUUCUCCCUGUUCCCUUAAAAAAGUAUAUUUUUUGCCAGUACGACAUUGGAUUAAUAUGUUCUCAAAAUUUAGUUUCUGUGAAAAAUAGAAAUGAAAACACAGCUGGUUUUAUGCAGGAAUUUUAGAAACAUUCUUUGAAGAAAAAAUGAUACAUUAUUAGGUUUGAGUGCCGAAUGUUUUAUCGCUAAAAUCCUCGGGAGGUGAAGGAUUGUGUGCUCAGUUCUAGGGGACUGCUUGGGGGCUAGGGUCCUAAAAGGGUCUGAGUUAUUGGUUAAGUUUCUUGGUUGUCGUUGAUUCUCUGCUGUAGAAUAAGAGCAAGGAUAAUAGAAAUAGUUGGCAGCCGGCGCAUGGGCACGCCACGUCACUCAACGCCUGCGGCAAACGGAUGCUUGUAUAAUAAAAUCGCUCACUGUUGCCUAUUAAAUGCAUGGUACCCGCUUUUUGCGCUGAGACAUUUUCUUGGUUACGCUGCUCUACGCAGGCGAGUAAGCAGUCGCCCGCCCUCAUCUCUCUCUUCCGUUCUCUCUCUUCCACCUAGGAUUUCUGUGACAUGGACAACUAUUUAGCCUGCUGACUAGGAUCCAUAAUACUUGCUCUAAACUAGCUGUGGACAUUGACUUGCACAUUUAGGUGUAUUGUGUGGUCUGGUUCACAUUUAUUAGUUUUGAAACUUUUAGUUGUCUUAGGAAGGAAGCAGAGAGUGCACAAUUUUCAGAUUGGUUAAUUCAGAAAUCAGAUUAUAUACUUUGAGGUGUAGCUGCCUACUUUGAGGUGUAGCUGCCUGUCUGCCCCACAUGUUUCCAACAAGGUAGUUAUGAAGUGUUACUUCGUAGACCAAUAAAAGAUUAGGCCUAUGGUCUUAUUGACAUUUGUUAGCGUCAUCUGCAAAUGCUUACAUCUCUAAAAUGAUGAGGGGCAACUUCAUGGUGGCUUGCUGAUAACUGAUUCCAUUCCCAAUCACUGAUUCCUUCUCUUGUACGCAGUUUCUUUUUUAUAAAGCUGACAUUGCUUACAGCUUAUAUCUCUAAAAUUUGAAUGCUUACAGUUUAUAAGGCUGGCAUUGCUUACAGCUUCUUUUUAGCUUCAUCUGCAAAUGCUUACAUCUCUAAAAUUUGAAUGGUCAAAUGAAGAUUCUUCCGCCUAUGACUCCCUGCAGGCUGGUUGCAUGCGGUGCGGCAGAGAAGCACACCCUGCACGGAUGGGAGCAGCCCUCCAGCAAUUCAAUGAAACGGUCAUUCUUGAAGCAGCACAAUGAUGAAGAGGCAUGAUUAAGUUGAAGAGAAGGCAGGUAGCAGUACAAAAUGAGCUAAAGAAAUGCAGGGUAUUGUUCAGGGCCACACAUUGGCUUCGGAUAUGGUCGCUGCUACAAAAGUGUGAUGAUGACACCAACUUGUUGAAGGAUGCAUGCCGAUCACUGUAGACAACGGUUAUGCAAAUUUUCGCCAACCAUGGAUGGAGAUUUAGCAAUAGGAUUGCUGCUUAAUAAAUUCCCAUGUGAACUUUGUUGGUGUCUCCUAUUUACUUUUGUAAACAUUAUGAGUGUGUUUGCAGACGGAGGUGCUGCAGUUUGAUGUGAAUGUAAUGAGUGGGUUGUAGCCUCUUGCAGCAUCUCUUUUUUUAUUGUGCGUGGCUAGAUAUAUGUGGAACCUAGUUUAUCAUUUCUUUGGUUUGGUAACUGAUGAUUAUCUUAGUCUAGCUAGUAGAUGGCUUAAUGAGAAAAAAAUUGAGAUGGUCAAUGGUAUC